rnacentral:tRNA from 1 species
GGAACCGUAGCUUAAUCGGGAAAGCCCCCGACCGAAGCUCGGGUGUUCGGCGAUCGAGGCGCCGCGGUUCCACCA